rnacentral:rRNA from 1 species
UACAGAGGUCUCAACCGUUGUUCGGAUUCAUUGGGCGUAAAGGGUGCGUAGGCGGUCGUGCAAGUCGGAUGUGAAAUCUCAGGGCUCAACCCUGAAACUGCAUUCGAUACUGCGUGGCUAGAGUGCUGGAGAGGAGACUGGAAUUUACGGUGUAGCAGUGAAAUGCGUAGAUAUCGUAAGGAAGACCAGUGGCGAAGGCGAGUCUCUGGACAGCAACUGACACUGAGGCACGGAAAGCUAGGGGAGCAAACAGG